UAUACCCAAGGGGGGAGAGAGGGUGUUCGGCCUUUCCAUGGACGGAGAAACUGUGAAGUUUCAAUAUGAGCAACAUGUUCAAUUUUUUCGUCGAAAGCUCGAUCCGAUCACGUUAAUUUUAAUAAAUUGAAGGAAGAGAUGAGUCGUCGGCGGACGAGGGGCCAUCGCGGUUCCAAUAAGGGACAUUGAGUGAUUAAUAGUGGCAGGCAAGAAGGUCAUGAAAGACUAUCGCGAUUACUUUUGUGAGCAUCCCGUGUAUCCUGCAAACUUAUUUCGUACAAGAUUCCACAUGAGUCGUGCUCUUUUUAGCUGAAUUGUUGAAGACACGGUAUCUCACAAUGCGUAUUUUCGCCAAAGAUGUGAUGCUACCGGUCUUCCCGGUUUGUCCUCUCUUCAGAAGGUCACGACAGCCACAAAGAUGCUUGCCUAUGGCCAACCAGCGGAUUCUGUAGAUGAAUAUGUUAGAAUCGAAGAGAGUACUACAUUAGUUUGUUUGAGAGAGUUCGUGAAAACAAUUGUGGAGGUAUAUGACCCACAAUACUUGAGGGCUCCAAACGGCAAUGAUAUAGCUCAACUACUAGCACUUGGCGAACAACGUGGGUUUCCAGGUAUGUUAGGAAGCAUUGAUUGAAUGCACUAGAAGUGGAAAAAUUGUCCAACUGUGUGGCAAAGUAUGUAUACUGGCCAUUGUCAAAUGACUCAACUUUAUUUUACCCAAAUAAUACCCGCAAGUGUACGGGGUUAUCGUAGCAAAUAGCAAGCAAGAGUAUAUAGUAUCCCACAGAGACAAUUAAGUGUAAACUUAAGUACUAUGAACAAAUUUCAACUACUAUCCAGACAA